rnacentral:lncRNA from 1 species
GGUCGGCACACUAUUUUAUUUAUUUAGUUAUUUUCUCCCUGUACUGCUGGCUUGGCUUGUUCAUUUAAAAUACCGUCUUCUUUCUUUAUUGCUUGUUUUAUCUCCUAAAAGGUCUUUCAUAUACUGUCUUGACUGGAAAAUACAGAACAACUAUCCAGACUGAAAAGAAAAUACAAUGAUAUUCCAUACAAUGAUACUCUUGAACUCUAUCCUCUUUUAUCUACACAGAUCAUAACAUUACAGAAUUUCAGCACCCUCCACUGCCCUGCCAAGUGCCUAGGUGGCAGUUAGUUAGCAGUGGUCACAAUGUAUCCCUUCCCAAUUGGAUCUUUGACUUCCCACUGUCCAUAUUUUAGCGAUAUGAGGUUUGCUAUUCAAGAGGAGUAAAGUAGAAUUAAUAAUCUUAAGCAGUUGAAUUACUGACAAUCGUUUUAAAAGUUUGCCUUAGGGCUUCAUAUUAGGUUUUUAGUGGAUCGUUGUUUCUUCUUUUAUUCUUUUCUCUGUUGCACUUUUCCUACCAUUAAGAGAAGAGUACAUAGCUUUUAUUUCUAAGCAUUAAACAAUGAUCCAGGGGAGUUUUUUGAUUGAGUAAAUUGGAUUCAGUUAAUGACUUCGGAGAUUGUUGAAAUUACAGCAAUCUCCAAAUUUGGCUGACUUUGGAUUGGAGAAGAAUUUACAAACCUACACGUUGGACUGAAAAAUCCUAAGUCUCCAUUCUCCUAUCUGAAUUUGAGGAGAGGUGAGUCUUGUCAGGAAAGCCUAUAAGAGAUUUUAGUUUCUUACCAAGAAAAUACAGGAUCCUUAACGGGAUAAAAGCCUCAUAUGGCAGGUAACGUAGAUGAUGAAACCUCACUAUACGUUAUUUGGUCAUUUAAGAGAUUGUCCAAUUUAAAGAGCUAUCUUUAAGAAAUAUCCUUCAAAAAGUCCUUACUCUAGAUGGAUUUUUUUUGAAAAAAAAAAAUUCUUCGUAAAAGCCUUGGUGAUUUUAUUUUGUUGAAAAUUCGGUAUCCGGCCCAAGGAUAACCUUGGUAAUUUUUAAUACAUAUAGAGAACUUCAAAUGAUGGGAUAAAGCUUUGCUGAUACUGUUAUUUUUGCACGAAAAGAAUACAUGAGUAGUUGAUACUUGAUAGAUAACAUAACAGAGACAAGAAAAGCCCCAAAGAUAGGAAUAAGUUUCAAAUCUUAAUAUUAGAUAUUUGAGUCAUCACCUGAAUUGAAAUAUUUUGGCUUGUGGAUUAGCACCCAAUUAAUUAAGGGUCUGCUAGGAGACCUGACGACUUCCAAAAUCAUAGAAAAAAAAAUCCUUUUAUCCUAGUUUAACCACUAUUAGCCGCAUUGAUUCUCAAAUCAGACAUUACCUCAAUGAAUCUAAGAAUAGAAAGAACAUUAACAAAACUUCGCUUUCCUCUUUCAAUAAGAGGAUAGUAUUAUUUGCAAACUGUGGGUGAGAGACCAUGAUCUCAUCUUUAGCCUGCUUUGCUGCCCUUGAUCAAUUCCUGUCAAAACCUUUGGAAAUUGUUCAAUCGAAAACAUGUACUACUAGAAUUAACAAGAAUGGAGAUAAAGAAUUCCUGGCCUAAAUCUGCAACAUCAAUAAUAUUGCCUAUCAUAUCAUUUUCUACACUUCACUAUAAGUAAAGAAUUGUUUGUUUCACAACAAUUCUUCUGUUUUACCGUUACUCAUGAAUAUUUUUCAAAAAAUACAGUGCUGUUCAUUAUUCCAACAAAUCUGGUGCAUUUCGCUCCCCACCAUUAUUUUUUAAAUAAGCAUACUUUAAGAUUGUGUUUUUUUUGCAUAUAUUGAACACACGCACAUAGAAUCAUUAUAUACACGCCAUUGAUGAUGGACAAGUUUAUUUGUAGGUUG